AUCGUUUCUCAGCCUUUUGGCUAAGAGCAAGUGCAGUGUCUGUUCUUAUCAGUUUAAUAUCUGAUAGAUACGUCUUCUAUCUGAGGAUAGUACAUUAAAUGUAUUUUUGAAGCUGGGAGAUGAAAUAGGAGCUUGUUCCAUCCACUCCACACAUCAACUGGGUAUUGUAGUGCUUCUGGGUAGGGUGCACCCCCC